rnacentral:misc_RNA from 1 species
AACGCAACUUGCGCUUCUGGGUAUCCCUGGAAGCAUGCCUCUUUGAGUAUCGUUUCAACCAAUCUCGCACUGCGUCCUUUCAUUAGGACAACGUAGCGGAAAAUGGGUCGUCUCGCAGUAAUGCGAGUCACUUUAAAUACAGCGAAAGCUAGUGUCGACAUGUAGAUGGGGGGCAACCUUCACCUCAGUUGAUGUCUGAUAAUAGAGACCUUGACGGGUCCCUUUCCUAUCGCAUUGACUUUGAGUGGUUGACAGUAAUAGUGAUCGAAAACAAGGAAAUUUAAUAUAUUUAUAUAUAUUUUUGAACUUGAUCUCAGAUGAAGCAAGAGAACCCGCCGAAUUUAA